rnacentral:rRNA from 1 species
CCUACGGGUGGCAGCAGUAGGGAAUAUUGCUCAAUGGGGGAAACCCUGAAGCAGCAACGCCGCGUGGAGGAUGAAGGUUUUCGGAUUGUAAACUCCUUUUGUUAGAGAAGAUAAUGACGGUAUCUAACGAAUAAGCACCGGCGAACUCCGUUCCAGCAGCCGCGGUAAUACGGAGGGUGCAAGCGUUACUCGGAAUCACUGGGCGUAAAGAGCGCGUAGGCGGGAUAGCAAGUCAGAUGUGAAAUCCUAUGGCUUAACCAUAGAACUGCAGUUGAAACUGUUAUUCUAGAGUAUGGGAGAGGUAGGUGGAAUUCUUGGUGUAGGGGUAAAAUGCGUAGAGAUCAAGAGGAAUACUCAUUGCGAAGGCGACCUGCUAGAACAUAACUGACGCUGAUGCGCGAAAGCGUGGGGAGCAAACAGGAUUAGAUACCCUAGUAGUC